UGAGGAAUAUUGGUCAAUGGGCGCAAGCCUGAACCAGCCAUGCCGCGUGCAGGAAGACGGUCCUAUGGAUUGUAAACUGCUUUUAUUCGGGAAUAAACCUCUUUACGUGUAGAGAGCUGAAGGUACCGAAUGAAUAAGCACCGGCUAACUCCGUGCCAGCAGCCGCGGUAAUACGGAGGGUGCAAGCGUUAUCCGGAAUCAUUGGGUUUAAAGGGUCCGCAGGCGGUCUUAUAAGUCAGUGGUGAAAGCCUACAGCUCAACUGUAGAACUGCCAUUGAUACUGUAAGACUUGAAUUCGAUCGAAGUGGGCGGAAUAUGACAUGUAGCGGUGAAAUGCUUAGAUAUGUCAUAGAACACCGAUAGCGAAGGCAGCUCACUAGGUCUGGAUUGACGCUCAGGGACGAAAGCGUGGGGAGCAAACA
rnacentral:rRNA from 1 species